rnacentral:rRNA from 1 species
GUAUGCCUAACACAUGCAAGUCGAACGAAGUCUUCGGACUUAGUGGCGGACGGGUGAGUAACGCGUGAGAAUCUGCCUUGAGGAUGGGGACAACAGUUGGAAACGACUGCUAAUACCCGAUGUGCCGGAAGGUGAAAAUUUUUUGCCUCAAGAGGAGCUCGCGUCUGAUUAGCUAGUUGGUGGGGUAAAAGCGUACCAAGGCAACGAUCAGUAGCUGGUCUGAGAGGAUGAGCAGCCACACUGGGACUGAGACACGGCCCAGACUCCUACGGGAGGCAGCAGUGGGGAAUUUUCCGCAAUGGGCGAAAGCCUGACGGAGCAAUACCGCGUGAGGGAGGAAGGCCUUUGGGUUGUAAACCUCUUUUCUCAGGGAAGAAGAUCUGACGGUACCUGAGGAAUAAGCAUCGGCUAACUCCGUGCCAGCAGCCGCGGUAAUACGGAGGAUGCAAGCGUUAUCCGGAAUUAUUGGGCGUAAAGCGUCCGCAGGUGGUCUUUCAAGUCUGCUGUCAAAGACCAGAGCUUAACUCUGGGCAGGCGGUGGAAACUGAGAGACUAGAGUUCGGUAGGGGUAGCGGGAAUUCCCAGUGUAGCGGUGAAAUGCGUAGAUAUUGGGAAGAACAUCGGUGGCGAAGGCGCGCUACUGGACCGAAACUGACACUCAGGGACGAAAGCUAGGGUAGCGAAAGGGAUUAGAUACCCCUGUAGUCCUAGCUGUAAACGAUGGAAACUAGGUGUGGCUUGUAUCGACCCGAGCCGUGCCGUAGCCAACGCGUUAAGUUUCCCGCCUGGGGAGUACGCACGCAAGUGUGAAACUCAAAGGAAUUGACGGGGGCCCGCACAAGCGGUGGAGUAUGUGGUUUAAUUCGAUGCAACGCGAAGAACCUUACCAGGGCUUGACAUGUCCGGAACUUUUCUGAAAGGAGAAGGUGCCUUCGGGAACCGGAACACAGGUGGUGCAUGGCUGUCGUCAGCUCGUGUCGUGAGAUGUUGGGUUAAGUCCCGCAACGAGCGCAACCCUCGUCUUUAGUUGCCAGCAUUAAGGUGGGCACUCUAGAGAGACUGCCGGUGACAAACCGGAGGAAGGUGAGGAUAACGUCAAGUCAGCAUGCCCCUUACGCCCUGGGCUACACACGUACUACAAUGGUUGGGACAAAGGGCAGCGAACCCGCGAGGGAGAGCGAAUCUCAUCAAACCCAGCCUCAGUUCAGAUUGCUCUCUGCAACUCGAGAGCAUGAAGGAGGAAUCGCUAGUAAUCGCAGGUCAGCAUACUGCGGUGAAUUCGUUCCCGGGCCUUGUACACACCGCCCGUCACACCAUGGAAGCUGGUCACGCCCGAAGUAGUUACCCUAACUUUCGAGAGGGGGACUCCUAAGGCAGGGCUAGUGACUGGGGUGAAGUCGUAACAAGGU